CUCAGGUACAGGGCUAACGCACUAAUAUUUGUAUCUGUAGCAAUGGGGCGUGGCUUCCCUCUGCGACUGAUGGGGAGGAACCCCUGCCAACCCCUUGGUGGGCAGAGCCAGGACAUCAUGCCCAUCCCACCAGAAGCAAAGGGGCAGGACAGGAAGUAUAAAAGGCAGGCCCUGUAGCUCAGCUGGGAGACAGACAGCGCCUGCCUGCUGCUGGGGCUGGAGCCUGAAGAGGAACUUGCCAGAGCUGCCUGCCACCAAAGAUACCGAGGAAUUGCUGGGACUGCCAUUAGCCAUGUACCCUGGGGAGACAGAGGACAACCCUGAGACACAGGCAUCCCAAAUUCUGGUGAUUCUUUGUGGAUCUUCUGGGAUUCCAUUCCUGAAACUCUGGCAAAGGAGUUGAGAGGUCCCAGAGAAGUAUGAAAAAGUAUAAAAUAUGAUGCUGAAGUCCAAACUAUGAUACGGAACCAGAACAAAAAGAAGCACCAAAGGUGAUCAACA